GCGUCUUUAGCUCAGUGGUAGAGCGUCUCGUUUACACCGAGAAGGUUGUAGGUUCAAUCCCUACAAGACGCA
rnacentral:tRNA from 1 species